UCAGUCUCAGCAGCCUUCAUUUCUUCCCAAACCCGAUCUGAACCUAGAGACUUAGAGAGGCCGCCUCCUUCGGUCCUUCUUCCCAAACCCGAUCUGAACCGAGAGAGGCCGCCAUAUCCGCCAACGCCGAGACUGCUCUCUCCCUCACUUCACCUGCACCGCGAGAUGCCGAGACUGCUCUCUCUCUCUUCACAUCACGCUAUGAGUUUCUUUGUCUUUCUCUUUGUAUCUCUGUAUCCCUCUCCCCCUUUCAAUCUCUCUGUGUUCUUACUGUGUUUUCGCUUGUCAAGUUUUAAAUUUGUUAUUGAUUUGCAGGCGGUUCGCUGGGUUUGUGUUUGGUGCCAAGGGGACUUUGAUUCAGUCUGUGGAGUAUUUCUGCUGUGAUCCCAAUCUAAUUUUGCAAGUAUCAAAUUGGGUUUUAAUCGGUUAGGUAUCCAAUCGAGCUCCUCUUUCCAUUAAGAUUUAAGAAAGAAAGAGACUGCUCUGGGCCAUCGACCACUUAAGCUGGUGUUUGUGCGGCAAUUGGGCAGCUGUCCAAGCCUUUAACUAAUGUAAUUCUGUAUGGGAAAGAGUUUGAAACCGCUGGCGGCUUCCCUUCCACUCAUUCCUCUAUAAGCUAGAAGAAUCAUUUCGACGUUGGGUUUAAACGGCGACUGGCUGCUGUGGAAGGAAGCUGUAUUUUAAUUAGGACUUUCUAUUUCAUUGCAUAUUUGUACUUGAAUUUGGACUUCGUAUUUAAAUUUGGACACUUUGUAUUUCAAUUGUAGCUUUAAUUGUUCUUGAUGAGUACUUGAAUUUGGAUAUUAUGUAUUAUGGAUAUUUGAAUUUGCAGCUUGAACUUUGGAUCUUGA